CAGUCGCCACGGGAAUGCGAAGGGGGCUAGCGUUGUUCGGAAUCACUGGGCGUAAAGGGUGCGUAGGCGGGCACUUAAGUCAGGGGUGAAAUCCCGAGGCUCAACCUCGGAACUGCCCUUGAUACUGGAUGUCUUGAGUCCGGAAGAGGUGAGUGGAACUGCGAGUGUAGAGGUGAAAUUCGUAGAUAUUCGCAAGAACACCGGUGGCGAAGGCGGCUCACUGGUCCGGAACUGACGCUGAGGCACGACAGCGUGGGGAGCAAACAGGAUUAGAUACCCCUGUAGUCCCUGUCUCUUAUAC
rnacentral:rRNA from 1 species